CUUGCACCUAGGUUCUAUGGCCCGUUCCCAAUCAUCCAGAAAGUUGGACCUGUAGCCUACAAAUUGCAGCUUCCACCCACGGCGGCCAUUCAGCCCAAAUUCCACGUCUCAACUGAAGAGGAAACUGGGCCAACAACACACGUUCUUGCCCACACUGCCACCCAUAGACGCCGCCAGGGUCCUUAAGCUAGAACCAGAGAAGAUUUUAGACCGUCCUGUUCGACGGUUCAAAAAUUAGCCUCUUGCAGAAUUGCCAGUCCAAUGGCAAGGACAACAUGCCGAUGACACCACAUGGGAGCUGUAUUAGUAGAAAGUAUCCUACCCACACCUUGUGGGCAAUGUGCUUUGAUAGGAGGAGCUCUAUCAUUCGUCCGACGGUGCCGAGGCAGAAGAAGAGAAAUAAGGAGAACUGAGGGAAGUCGUGGUCUUAGGGUUCAAGAUGUGGGCCAUGGGUUGGGCCAAUGCCUUAGGUCCAUCUAAGUUGUUCGGUCUAGUAAAGGCCCUUUAUGUUACUUUGUAAUUCAAGUCAGUGUUAUGUUUUAAUUCUAUUUUCUAGAAGGGAAAUCAAGUUUGCUAUGCACUAGUGUCAGACCCUAUUUGAGGACAGCGUCAUGUAGAGGUUGGUUAUGCUGAAUCUUUAUGCAAGUUGUUAUACUUUCUUCUUUCUUCCUCUUUUCUCUCUAUUAAUGGAGGCACUCACCCUCUAAGUGAGCAAUUUCCAUCUCAUCCAUAAGUCCUUACAGAAAUUACAGUAAAAAUCUUAGUGUUACAUUCUUCCCCACUCCUCCAACCGAGUCGUUCGUAUCCCCGGAACAAAAUGGUAUGUCCCUUCUAACCUUCUGCUUUGCUUCAGCUUAAGUUGCUGGGUAUGCGUCUUUGAGUGUGUGAGUAUGCAUUGUACAGUUUAUUGUGGUUUCUGAUGUUUUCUUAGAGUAAAUAUUUGUUUGUUUUUUCCUUUGUGGUUAUGAAUUUGUAGCCGUUUAAGAGGUACGUGGAGAUUUGAAGGCUGGCGCUUGUGAACUACGGGAAGGAGUAUGGAAGACUUGUUGAGAUUGUGGAUGUUAUCCACCACAAUAGGGCUCUUGUUGAUGCCCCUGAUAUGGUGAGGAGCCAAAUGAACUUAAAAAGGCUUUCUCUGACUGAUAUUAAGAUUGACAUCAAGAGGGUUCCAAAGAAGAGGGCUUUAAUUGAGGCCAUGUAGACUGCUGGUAGGUGAUAAUUGAGAUGUAACUUGAUUAUCUUACAAGACUGAAAAGUUUGUAAAUUAGGGGGUGGAAUUAUCAAAACUCAGUAAGGAGAAUGCACAGCCUAAGACAGUGGCACAAUUUGUAGAAUUUUGAAGAUGGUUCAAUUAUACAGCCCCGAUCUUGCUUGACGUGU